rnacentral:rRNA from 1 species
UAACACGUAAGUAAUCUACCUUCGGAUGGGGAAUAACAGUCGGAAACGACUGCUAAUACCGCAUAAUGCAGCGGCACCUAAUGGUGACAGUUGUUAAAGUAUUUAUACGUCUGGAGAGGAGCUUGCGGCAGAUUAGCUAGUUGGUAAGGUAAUGGCUUACCAAGGCUACGAUCUGUAGCCGACCUGAGAGGGUGGUCGGUCACACUGACACUGAAUAACGGGUCAG